UCUUUGACAGAUUGAAAAUGUAAUCAAAUUUAGAGAAAUUAAUAACAUAACAGAAUUCAUCCGACAUAGUGGAAAUCUUGCUGAUUUUUUUCUACUUUUACAAGAUGGCUUGGGAUUCAGCACAUAUUUAUUUGAAGAUGUUGAUGAAGGUAUUAAAUUAAAAAAUGGAACUUGGACCGGUCGCAAUGGACGUGUUCACAGAAAUGAAGUGGAUAUUGGAUUUCCUACAGGAAUAACAUACGAUAGAUUAGAAGCGAUAGAUUAUACUCACAUCUUUAACGUAUUGACAGUGAAUUUUUACACAAAAAAACCUGAAGAAUUAUCCAAAAUGCUAGCAGUG